rnacentral:tRNA from 1 species
GCCUGGGUGGCUCAGUCAGUUGAGCGUCUGGCUUCAGCUCAGGUCAUGAUCUCACAGUUUGUGGGUUCGAGCCCCGCAUCGGGCU